UCCCUUUGCCCUGCUCUCCAGCAGAUCCUCUCGUUGUUUGACUGGGUAGCAGCCAUUAUCUACAUAACGGAAGCGGAAGGACAGAGAGCCAGAAGGCCAGUGCGAUAUUGAGAUGCUGCGAAGGAGGGCCUGGAACGCGGUCCUGAACAGUCGGACGGGAUCUGGCAGGAGCUGGCUAUUAAAUUACAUCACAAGGGCUACGUGUGGGACUGGAAGAGUGCGUGGUUAUUUCCGUCUCCGAAACCCGAGUGCAAGUCUCAAGGUAAUUACUUUGGAUCCAAGUGUAAUUACCAACUGAUCUGCAGCAACAUACACAGUGGUGACAUCCAUUCGAGGCAGCAUUAGAGCCCGAUAAUAGCACAGCGUCAUUAACACAGCUUAGCACUUCCACGCAUGGCCACAGGCCCCGGUUUUCUUCGGGAAGCAGCUCACGAUUAGGCGGCCAAAUGUGGAGAUCUCAUUAGAAGGCACCUGAGAUGCUGCCUUCGGUCAGCGCGUGUGUGCGCGAGUAUGCAUGAACAAAUCAGUGCACAUUGUAACUAUAGCACACAUGAGGUCCUCAGCCUGUAAAACUAAGCAGGAGCAGAUAUUCUUCGCCACUAUAUAUUUCCUUGUUGUGAUAUUUCUGCAAUCUGCCCUUACUCUUUCCUUUCCAAAGUAUUGAACACCCUGGGAAGAAGUGCGGUGUUUUAUCCCACUGAUACCUGGGGAAUCAUUGCCUAUGUGUUUAGCUUUGCGGUCGCUAUUACAAAGUCACUACCUUUGCAGUCUCUACUGUAACAGCAUCGCGCUAAAAUUUGGGGAUAUUUUAUCUUGAGCUAGCAC